AUGCCGCCGCCGCCAUCCCCCAUCGCCACUGGUCGGACGUGGAGUUCGUGUGCCAUGACCUCCAUGGCACCCAUGGCCGACAAGACGGGACCCUCGGCCUCGGCCAUGGCCGCCUGCUCGGGAGAUGGGGUCGCCAUGUUUGACGCCGCCAGCGCCUCAUGGACCUCAGCUCCAGGUCCACCGCCAUCGAACUCAGAGUACGAGACCGACGUCGCUGCUGCCUCGAUCGACUACGGUGUUGACGACCUCUCCUUCUUGCCAGAGCAACCAGAUGUUGGAGACCAGGAGCCAGAUGCCAUCGUCGACGAUGACUCCUACUACACUGGAGGUGCCUACUACUACAUGCAGGCCAUUGAUGACGACCAGGAGUAG
rnacentral:rRNA from 1 species